AUUGAACGCUGGCGGCAUGCUUUACACAUGCAAGUCGAACGGCAGCGCGGGCUUCGGCCUGGCGGCGAGUGGCGAACGGGUGAGUAAUACAUCGGAACGUGCCCAGUAGUGGGGGAUAGCUCGGCGAAAGCCGGAUUAAUACCGCAUACGACCUGAUGGUGAAAGCGGGGGAUCUUCGGACCUCGCGCUAUUUGAUCGGCCGAUGGCAGAUUAGCUAGUUGGUGGGGUAAAGGCCUACCAAGGCGACGAUCUGUAGCUGGUCUGAGAGGACGACCAGCCACACUGGGACUGAGACACGGCCCAGACUCCUACGGGAGGCAGCAGUGGGGAAUUUUGGACAAUGGGCGAAAGCCUGAUCCAGCAAUGCCGCGUGUGUGAUGAAGGCCUUCGGGUUGUAAAGCACUUUUGGCGGGAACGAAAAGGACUGUGCCAAUACCACGGUUCGAUGACGGUACCCGCAGAAUAAGCACCGGCUAACUACGUG
rnacentral:rRNA from 1 species